AGCCGCAGCCCGCCAGCUUUCCCGGCCUCGCACACUGAGCAGCCGAAGCCCGCCGUGCUGGAUGCGGUCCCUCCGGGCAGAGGCCCGCCAGCUCUGAGCCUCGCCCGGCAGCGCUGCUACCUGCCGGCCCGGGCUGUGCCGCCCGGGCUCCUCCGAGUCCAUUUCGGGCUCCCGCACCACGCACGUGCCCCGGCUUCGGAAGCGGCCGCUUUCAGCCUGAGGGGAACGGCGGCACGCAAGCUCCCAUCGGCCCGGGGCGACGGCGACGGCCCGCCCCGGACUCUCGUUGGUCAGCUCCAGCGCCGCCUGCUCUCUUCUCGGGAAAAUGGCAGUCGGGUCCUCCACCUCCGGGUGGCAGCUCAGCACAGCGCUGCUGAUUUGAGCCGCGCGAGGACCGAAGGCGCCCGCCCGACUCCGUGCCGGGCUCCGACGCGCCUCGAUCCGCGGGGUCGGUCCCUCUCUUUCGGGGCUGCCCCGGCUCAGCCAGGAGCCGCUCCCGGACACCGGGCGGCUCCCGCCGCUCGCUCCUUACAGCCCGGCGGCGCCCGUCGCCGCAGCGACGACUCCGGAGGACGGCUCGGUUCUUACGGGGGACGGACGGGGCCCCGAGGCACGGGGCGGGCGGCGACGAGGACGCGGGGCGGCGGAGCGCCGCUUUCCCCGCUUUCCCCGCACGGAGCCCCGCGGCUCCGCAGCCGCCAUCGGCGGAGAGCCCGCGCUCGGCCCCGCCGUCGCCGCGCUGCCAUUGUCGGCCCGCGGAACGGGGCGGGCGCUGCGCGCGGCUCCUUUCCGUCAUCGCGUCAUCACCGCGCGCGUCCCGCACGGCCCCGGCCCGGCUGCCCGCGGCGCCGCCCCGCGCCGUGCGCCCGCUCCGCUUCCGGGGCCCGCACCUCCAGAUCCUUUUCCUCCGCGCGGCGUUCCGCUCUGCCCCCAGCCUGCCGCGAUGCCUGGGGUUGUUGUGACCGAAGUGCGGGACCGGGGUGUGGUGUUGCUGAACCUCGUGCCGUCAGCCAUUGA
rnacentral:lncRNA from 1 species